rnacentral:rRNA from 1 species
GAUGAACGCUGGCGGCGUGCCUAAUACAUGCAAGUCGAGCGAACGGACGAGAAGCUUGCUUCUCUGAUGUUAGCGGCGGACGGGUGAGUAACACGUGGAUAACCUACCUAUAAGACUGGGAUAACUUCGGGAAACCGGAGCUAAUACCGGAUAAUAUUUUGAACCGCAUGGUUCAAAAGUGAAAGACGGUCUUGCUGUCACUUAUAGAUGGAUCCGCGCUGCAUUAGCUAGUUGGUAAGGUAACGGCUUACCAAGGCGACGAUGCAUAGCCGACCUGAGAGGGUGAUCGGCCACACUGGAACUGAGACACGGUCCAGACUCCUACGGGAGGCAGCAGUAGGGAAUCUUCCGCAAUGGGCGAAAGCCUGACGGAGCAACGCCGCGUGAGUGAUGAAGGUCUUCGGAUCGUAAAACUCUGUUAUUAGGGAAGAACAUAUGUGUAAGUAACUGUGCACAUCUUGACGGUACCUAAUCAGAAAGCCACGGCUAACUACGUGCCAGCAGCCGCGGUAAUACGUAGGUGGCAAGCGUUAUCCGGAAUUAUUGGGCGUAAAGCGCGCGUAGGCGGUUUUUUAAGUCUGAUGUGAAAGCCCACGGCUCAACUGUGGAGGGUCAUUGGAAACUGGAAAACUUGAGUGCAGAAGAGGAAAGUGGAAUUCCAUGUGUAGCGGUGAAAUGCGCAGAGAUAUGGAGGAACACCAGUGGCGAAGGCGACUUUCUGGUCUGUAACUGACGCUGAUGUGCGAAAGCGUGGGGAUCAAACAGGAUUAGAUACCCUGGUAGUCCACGCCGUAAACGAUGAGUGCUAAGUGUUAGGGGGUUUCCGCCCCUUAGUGCUGCAGCUAACGCAUUAAGCACUCCGCCUGGGGAGUACGACCGCAAGGUUGAAACUCAAAGGAAUUGACGGGGACCCGCACAAGCGGUGGAGCAUGUGGUUUAAUUCGAAGCAACGCGAAGAACCUUACCAAAUCUUGACAUCCUUUGACAACUCUAGAGAUAGAGCCUUCCCCUUCGGGGGACAAAGUGACAGGUGGUGCAUGGUUGUCGUCAGCUCGUGUCGUGAGAUGUUGGGUUAAGUCCCGCAACGAGCGCAACCCUUAAGCUUAGUUGCCAUCAUUAAGUUGGGCACUCUAAGUUGACUGCCGGUGACAAACCGGAGGAAGGUGGGGAUGACGUCAAAUCAUCAUGCCCCUUAUGAUUUGGGCUACACACGUGCUACAAUGGACAAUACAAAGGGCAGCGAAACCGCGAGGUCAAGCAAAUCCCAUAAAGUUGUUCUCAGUUCGGAUUGUAGUCUGCAACUCGACUACAUGAAGCUGGAAUCGCUAGUAAUCGUAGAUCAGCAUGCUACGGUGAAUACGUUCCCGGGUCU